GGCGAGAUGAACUCACCGCAGGGAAGCGGGAGAGGGCUCAGUCCGCCCCUGGUCGUGCACACUCUCCAGGUCACCUUGGAUCCUGCGGGUCCGGCCUGCUACUACUGGCUCUCAAUGCCUUGCCGGGCCUCGGCCCUGCCCUACGAAUCCUUGUAAUUUCCGCUGGAUGGACGAAGGCCGACCUCCAGGCAGGUGCGCCCUGGAGUCACUUCUGCUCUCGGGCCGAGGUUUGCCUCUGGGAUCCCCGAUCUAUUCAGGCUGCUACACAAAAUGCUAUAAAAAGGUGGCUUGAUAACAACAAAUAUCUACCUCUUAUGUUCUGGAGACUGGGAAGACGAAGAUCAAGAAACCAGUGGAUUCAAUGUCUGGUCUGAAGCAUGGACCCCAAUUUAAAAAUUGUCCAGGGUUUUCUUUACACUUAAAUGAUUUUAGUGACUUCUGCUAGGAGAAAGAAUUUCACCUUAAUUUUAAAAAAUCAUGGCUGAGUGAUCACUAGAUAUAAGAACUGGCACUUGGCGUGGAUUCGAAAUCUCUUUUUCAGCUUUACUCAAAGCAAGAAAAAGAAACAAGGUGGUAUAACCCAAUUUAAAAUGGAAACAAUCACUUCUUUUAAAAAUGCCCAUAAAGAACCCUCCUGCACUGUUGGUGGGAAUGUAAACUGGUUCAGCCACUAUGGAGAACAGUUUGGAGAUACCUUAGAAAUCUAUACAUAGAACUUCCAUAUGACCCCGCAAUCCCACUCUUGGGCAUCUAUCCGGACAAAGCUCUGCUUAAAAGAGACACAUCACCCACAUGUUCAUUGCAGCACUAUUCACAAUAGCCAGGACAUGGAAACAACCCAAAUGUCCAUCAACAGAUGAUUGGAUUCGGAAGAUGUGGUAUAUAUACACAAUGGAAUACUACUCAGCCAUAAAAAGAAUGACAUAAUGCCAUUUGCAGCAACAUGGAUGGAACUAGAGACUCUCAUACUGAGUGAAAUGAGCCAGAAAGACAAAGACAAAUACCAUAUGAUAUCACUUAUAUCUGGAAUCUAAUAUCCAGCACAAAUGAACAUCUCCUCAGAAAAGAAAAUCAUGGACUUGGAGAAGAGACUUGUGGCUGCCUGAUGGGAGGGGGAGGGAGUGGGAGGGAUCGGGAGCUUGGGCUUAUCAGACACAACUUAGAAUAGAUUUACAAGGAGAUCCUGCUGAAUAGCAUUGAGAACUUUGUCUAGAUACUCAUGUAUCUAGACAGAAAGGGUGAGGGAAAAAAUGUAAUUGUAAUGUAUACAUGUAAGGAUAACCUGACCCCCUUGCUGUACAGUGGGAAAAUAAAAAAAA
rnacentral:lncRNA from 1 species